UAACGCGAAGAACCUUACCAGGUCUUGACAUCCUCUGACAACCCUAGAGAUAGGGCUUUCCCCUUCGGGGGACAGAGUGACAGGUGGUGCAUGGUUGUCGUCAGCUCGUGUCGUGAGAUGUUGGGUUAAGUCCCGCAACGAGCGCAACCCUUGAUCUUAGUUGCCAGCAUUCAGUUGGGCACUCUAAGGUGACUGCCGGUGACAAACCGGAGGAAGGUGGGGAUGACGUCAAAUCAUCAUGCCCCUUAUGACCUGGGCUACACACGUGCUACAAUGGAUGGUACAAAGGGCUGCAAACCUGCGAAGGUAAGCGAAUCCCAUAAAGCCAUUCUNCAGUUCGGAUUGCAGGCUGCAACUCGCCUGCAUGAAGCCGGAAUCGCUAGUAAUCGCGGAUCAGCAUGCCGCGGAAA
rnacentral:rRNA from 2 species